UGAAUAUCCCCCAAAUGGGUGCAUCAGUGCCGAUCAAUUACUAUCAGAACUACUUUGUUGGCUUUCCACAGGGUCCAACAUUGUCUGAGUUGUGCCCCCAUUGUCGAGCUACGAGCUCUACUGCAAGGUGUUUGAUAGCUUUGCUGAAUACUCCAGUAGUUCACCAUAUAUAUAUAUGUAGGGAGCAGAACUAUUUGGCAGACAAAUUAGCAGGCAUUACCAGUACAAACACAGGGAUGUUCACUACAUCUUCUU